UAAAAGGAGGAGAGCUAUCUUCCUUCGGCUAUCCAAGCUCUCUGAGGCAAGUCCCACGGGAGAAGUAGAAUAAAAAAAACAGAGGAGGGAGAGAGGUUUGGAUAUUUUGGGAAUAACUUCCCAUGUAUAUAAAAAAAUAAGAAUGAAGUGCUGAGGGAGGAAGAAAGGAAGCUGAUCAUGAUGCAAAUGGGAGCCUGCUGCUGUGCUGCUGCUGCCGUCUCCAACUCCAUGCAGGGCUGAUCUCCUCUCUAGGGCUGGAUGCAACCCUAACAAAGGGCUGAGGGUUUUAUAUUUUUGAUUUCUAUUCUUGGAGUUGUAUAAACCUUAUUCUGC
rnacentral:lncRNA from 1 species